rnacentral:rRNA from 1 species
GAUGAACGCUAGCGGCAGGCCCAAUACAUGCAAGUCGGACGGGAUCCAUCGGAGAGCUUGCUCGAGGAUGGUGAGAGUGGCGCACGGGUGCGUAACGCGUGAGCAACCUACCUCUAUCAGGGGGAUAGCCUCUCGAAAGAGAGAUUAACACCGCAUAACAUCAACAGUUCGCAUGUCCGGUUGAUUAAAUAUUUAUAGGAUAGAGAUGGGCUCGCGUGACAUUAGCUAGUUGGUAGGGUAACGGCUUACCAAGGCGACGAUGUCUAGGGGCUCUGAGAGGAGAAUCCCCCACACUGGUACUGAGACACGGACCAGACUCCUACGGGAGGCAGCAGUAAGGAAUAUUGGUCAAUGGGCGGAGGCCUGAACCAGCCAUGCCGCGUGCAGGACGACUGCCCUAUGGGUUGUAAACUGCUUUUGUCCAGGAAUAAACCUAAAUACGUGUAUUUAGCUGAAUGUACUGGAAGAAUAAGGAUCGGCUAACUCCGUGCCAGCAGCCGCGGUAACAC